GUGAUAGAGGCGCGGUUAUCAAGAGUAGCUCCCGGCCGGAGGGCGGAAACCCGGGGAGUGAAAGGGGUCGCCGCCGAAGGGCUUUCGGUUUUCCGGCCGGAGGUGCCUGGGCCGCGGGAUAAUAUCCGGCGGACUGUCGCGCGGGUCUGCCCGUGUCGAAGCGCUGUCGG
rnacentral:ncRNA from 1 species